rnacentral:rRNA from 1 species
CCCUUAGAUGUCCUGGGCCGCACGCGCGCUACACUGAGUGUCUGAGAUACGAGUCUGCCUGGUCCGGCAAGGUCUAGGUAAUCGCUAAAAGACACAUCAUGCUUGGGAUAGAUUAUUGCAAAUAUUAAUCUUGAACGAGGAAUUCCUAGUAAGCGCAAGUCAACAGCUUGCGUUUAUUACGUCCCUGCCCUUUGUACACACCGCCCGUCGCUACUACUGAUUGGAUGUUUAAGCGAGGUUCUCGAACUGCUAGCGACUUAGCUUCGGUGAGGUCGCAGCGUGGGAAGUGAACCUAGCUUUGGUGUCUAGAGGAAGUAAAAGUCGUAACA